UACAGAGGUCCCAAGCGUUGUUCGGAUUCACUGGGCGUAAAGGGUGCGUAGGUGGCAGGGUAAGUUUGAUGUGAAAUCUUCGAGCUUAACUCGAAAACUGCAUUGAAUACUAUCCUGCUAGAGGUUUGGAGGGGGGACUGGAAUUCUCGGUGUAGCAGUGAAAUGCGUAGAUAUCGAGAGGAACACCAGUGGCGAAGGCGAGUCCCUGGACAACACCUGACACUGAGGCACGAAAGCUAGGGGAGCAAACAGG
rnacentral:rRNA from 1 species